rnacentral:rRNA from 1 species
CCUACGGGUGGCAGCAGUGGGGAAUAUUGGACAAUGGGGGCAACCCUGAUCCAGCCAUGCCGCGUGUGUGAAGAAGGCCCUCGGGUUGUAAAGCACUUUCAGUGAGGAAGAACGCCUGGUGGUUAAUACCCAUCAGGAAAGACAUCACUCACAGAAGAAGCACCGGCUAACUCCGUGCCAGCAGCCGCGGUAAUACGGAGGGUGCGGGCGUUAAUCGGAAUUACUGGGCGUAAAGCGCGCGUAGGUGGCUUGAUAAGCCGGUUGUGAAAGCCCCGGGCUCAACCUGGGAACGGCAUCCGGAACUGUCAAGCUAGAGUGCAGGAGAGGAAGGUAGAAUUCCCGGUGUAGCGGUGAAAUGCGUAGAGAUCGGGAGGAAUACCAGUGGCGAAGGCGGCCUUCUGGACUGACACUGACACUGAGGUGCGAAAGCGUGGGUAGCAAACAGGAUUAGAUACCCUGGUAGUC